AUCAGACUCUGAUUGGGAUCUGAUUGUCGGUCUCUAACAGAGUAAUAAUCCGACCAGCCAGUUCAUUCUCUAUCCUCAUUAUUCCACUGAGGAGAUUAAUUUAAUCUUGGAUUGUAGUUGGAGCUGAGACUGAAACAAAAGAAACCCAUCCAUAUAACAUAUGGGAGACAGAAGACCCCUGGGCUCCGAGUUCCGGUGCACUGGUGGAAUCAUCCAGUAGAAGACAAAGAUAGCCAGUUCUCCAGCCAUUCAGCUGCAGGAACCAAAAAGAGAGCUCUGAGAUCAGGUGUUGAGAUGAUGGAGAGAGGGGGAUGCAACCACCACACCACUCUCCAUUGUUGACCAUCUGAAAGAAGAAUAGGAGGGGACAAAAGAGUAAGAGAAUUGGGACGUUUUGGGCCUGAAGCAAAUAAAACAGGUGGGGAAUCAAUUUUAUCAUCCAAUUAUCAUUUUGUCCUGACCUAUGUACCCUCAAAACCACCGCUUUCAGUAAUAGAAUCACACUUUACCUUGAUUUUUACCCUUCACACACAUUACAUUUAGUAGACGCUCAACA
ensembl:lncRNA